ACAAGAGCAAGUAGGACAGACUGGGGCAAUUUGCUCCACAGUUUUGGUUCAAAGACAGAAAAUGACCAUCUAAAGUACAUUUAAUUAGCUCGUUUUAUUCAUCCCACUCUGGCCGUCAUUAUUCAGGUGAGACUAUUUACAAAUGGUGUCUUCUCUUCCUUCCUUUUUUGCUCUUCUGUCCUCCACUUCCCUCCAUCCCGUCUCUUUAAACCUGCUCUCCCUCCAUCGCUCCCGUCUCCCGUCACUUUCUCCUCUCCGCUCCAAUGGCUUUCAGCUGUGGGCUAAUCGUUGCAGUAUUGUUUCUAGGAAGCCUCCGCUGCAGUUAAAGCAGCAGCUGAAAUAAAGCCGGGGAAAACCGUGCCGAGGAAGGCUUUUAGGUGCAUGCGUCGAGACGAUGAAGGGAGGCAGCUUUAAAGAGACG